rnacentral:rRNA from 1 species
ACGCUCGACACCUACGGGAGGCAGCAGGUGGGAAUAUUGGGCAAUGGGCGCAAGCCUGACCCAGCAACGCCGCGUGAAGGAUGAAGGCUUUCGGGUUGUAAACUUCUUUUAACAGGGACGAAAUAAAUGACGGUACCUGUUGAAUAAGCCACGGCUAACUACGUGCCACAGCCGCGGUAAUCUGAGCGGGCUGGCAAGGC